GGAUAACCUGCCCUUGGGACCGGCAUAACCCCGGGAAACUGGGGAUAAUUCCGGAUAACGCAUAUUUGCUGGAAUGCUUUAUGCGUCAAAAGGAUUCGUCUGCCCAAGGAUGGGUCUGCGGCCUAUCAGGUAGUAGUGGGUGUAAUGUACCUACUAGCCAGCGACGGGUACGGGUUGUGAGAGCAAGAGCCCGGAGAUGGAUUCUGAGACAUGAAUCCAGGCCCUACGGGGCGCAGCAGGCGCGAAAACUUUACAAUGCGGGAAACCGUGAUAAGGGGACACCGAGUGCCAGCAUCAUAUGCUGGCUGUCCGGAUGUGUAAAAUACAUCCGUUAGCAAGGGCCGGGCAAGACCGGUGCCAGCCGCCGCGGUAACACCGGCGGCCCGAGCGGUGAUCGUGAUUAUUGGGUCUAAAGGGUCCGUAGCCGGUUUGGUCAGUCCUCCGGGAAAUCUGAUAGCUCAACUAUUAGGCUUUCGGGGGAUACUGCCAGACUUGGAACCGGGAGAGGUAAGAGGUACUACAGGGGUAGGAGUGAAAUCUUGUAAUCCCUGUGGGACCACCUGUGGCGAAGGCGUCUUACCAGAACGGGUUCGACGGUGAGGGACGAAAGCUGGGGGCACGAACCGGAUUAGAUACCCGGGUAGUCCCAGCCGUAAACGAUGCUCGCUAGGUGUCAGGCAUGGCGCGACCGUGUCUGGUGCCGCAGGGAAGCCGUGAAGCGAGCCACCUGGGAAGUACGGCCGCAAGGCUGAAACUUAA
rnacentral:rRNA from 1 species